rnacentral:rRNA from 1 species
GAUUAAGUUAUUAAGGGCGCACGGUGGAUGCCUUGGCACUAGAAGCCGAUGAAGGACGUUACUAACGACGAUAUGCUUUGGGGAGCUGUAAGUAAGCUUUGAUCCAGAGAUUUCCGAAUGGGGAAACCCAGCAUGAGUUAUGUCAUGUUAUCGAUAUGUGAAUACAUAGCAUAUCAGAAGGCACACCCGGAGAACUGAAACAUCUUAGUACCCGGAGGAAGAGAAAGAAAAUUCGAUUCCCUUAGUAGCGGCGAGCGAAACGGGAAGAGCCCAAACCAACAAGCUUGCUUGUUGGGGUUGUAGGACACUCUAUACGGAGUUACAAAGGACGACAUUAGACGAAUCAUCUGGAAAGAUGAAUCAAAGAAGGUAAUAAUCCUGUAGUCGAAAAUGUUGUCUCUCUUGAGUGGAUCCUGAGUACGACGGAGCACGUGAAAUUCCGUCGGAAUCUGGGAGGACCAUCUCCUAAGGCUAAAUACUCUCUAGUGACCGAUAGUGAACCAGUACCGUGAGGGAAAGGUGAAAAGCACCCCGGAAGGGGAGUGAAAUAGAACCUGAAACCGUGUGCUUACAAGUAGUCAGAGCCCGUUAAUGGGUGAUGGCGUGCCUUUUGUAGAAUGAACCGGCGAGUUACGAUUUGAUGCAAGGUUAAGCAGUAAAUGUGGAGCCGUAGCGAAAGCGAGUCUGAAUAGGGCGUUUAGUAUUUGGUCGUAGACCCGAAACCAGGUGAUCUACCCUUGGUCAGGUUGAAGUUCAGGUAACACUGAAUGGAGGACCGAACCGACUUACGUUGAAAAGUGAGCGGAUGAACUGAGGGUAGCGGAGAAAUUCCAAUCGAACCUGGAGAUAGCUGGUUCUCUCCGAAAUAGCUUUAGGGCUAGCCUCAAGUGAUGAUUAUUGGAGGUAGAGCACUGUUUGGACGAGGGGCCCCUCUCGGGUUACCGAAUUCAGACAAACUCCGAAUGCCAAUUAAUUUAACUUGGGAGUCAGAACAUGGGUGAUAAGGUCCGUGUUCGAAAGGGAAACAGCCCAGACCACCAGCUAAGGUCCCAAAAUAUAUGUUAAGUGGAAAAGGAUGUGGCGUUGCCCAGACAACUAGGAUGUUGGCUUAGAAGCAGCCAUCAUUUAAAGAGUGCGUAAUAGCUCACUAGUCGAGUGACACUGCGCCGAAAAUGUACCGGGGCUAAACAUGUUACCGAAGCUGUGGAUUGUCCUUUGGACAAUGGUAGGAGAGCGUUCUAAGGGCGUUGAAGCAUGAUCGUAAGGACAUGUGGAGCGCUUAGAAGUGAGAAUGCCGGUGUGAGUAGCGAAAGACGGGUGAGAAUCCCGUCCACCGAUUGACUAAGGUUUCCAGAGGAAGGCUCGUCCGCUCUGGGUUAGUCGGGUCCUAAGCUGAGGCCGACAGGCGUAGGCGAUGGAUAACAGGUUGAUAUUCCUGUACCACCUAUAAUCGUUUUAAUCGAUGGGGGGACGCAGUAGGAUAGGCGAAGCGUGCGAUUGGAUUGCACGUCUAAGCAGUAAGGCUGAGUAUUAGGCAAAUCCGGUACUCGUUAAGGCUGAGCUGUGAUGGGGAGAAGACAUUGUGUCUUCGAGUCGUUGAUUUCACACUGCCGAGAAAAGCCUCUAGAUAGAAAAUAGGUGCCCGUACCGCAAACCGACACAGGUAGUCAAGAUGAGAAUUCUAAGGUGAGCGAGCGAACUCUCGUUAAGGAACUCGGCAAAAUGACCCCGUAACUUCGGGAGAAGGGGUGCUCUUUAGGGUUAACGCCCAGAAGAGCCGCAGUGAAUAGGCCCAAGCGACUGUUUAUCAAAAACACAGGUCUCUGCUAAACCGUAAGGUGAUGUAUAGGGGCUGACGCCUGCCCGGUGCUGGAAGGUUAAGAGGAGUGGUUAGCUUCUGCGAAGCUACGAAUCGAAGCCCCCAGUAAACGGCGGCCGUAACUAUAACGGUCCUAAGGUAGCGAAAUUCCUUGUCGGGUAAGUUCCGACCCGCACGAAAGGCGUAACGAUUUGGGCACUGUCUCAACGAGAGACUCGGUGAAAUCAUAGUACCUGUGAAGAUGCAGGUUACCCGCGACAGGACGGAAAGACCCCGUGGAGCUUUACUGUAGCCUGAUAUUGAAAUUCGGCACAGCUUGUACAGGAUAGGUAGGAGCCUUUGAAACGUGAGCGCUAGCUUACGUGGAGGCGCUGGUGGGAUACUACCCUAGCUGUGUUGGCUUUCUAACCCGCACCACUUAUCGUGGUGGGAGACAGUGUCAGGCGGGCAGUUUGACUGGGGCGGUCGCCUCCUAAAAGGUAACGGAGGCGCUCAAAGGUUCCCUCAGAAUGGUUGGAAAUCAUUCAUAGAGUGUAAAGGCAUAAGGGAGCUUGACUGCGAGACCUACAAGUCGAGCAGGGUCGAAAGACGGACUUAGUGAUCCGGUGGUUCCGCAUGGAAGGGCCAUCGCUCAACGGAUAAAAGCUACCCCGGGGAUAACAGGCUUAUCUCCCCCAAGAGUUCACAUCGACGGGGAGGUUUGGCACCUCGAUGUCGGCUCAUCGCAUCCUGGGGCUGUAGUCGGUCCCAAGGGUUGGGCUGUUCGCCCAUUAAAGCGGUACGCGAGCUGGGUUCAGAACGUCGUGAGACAGUUCGGUCCCUAUCCGUCGUGGGCGUAGGAAAUUUGAGAGGAGCUGUCCUUAGUACGAGAGGACCGGGAUGGACAUACCUCUGGUGUACCAGUUGUCGUGCCAACGGCAUAGCUGGGUAGCUAUGUGUGGACGGGAUAAGUGCUGAAAGCAUCUAAGCAUGAAGCCCCCCUCAAGAUGAGAUUUCCCAACUUCGGUUAUAAGAUCCCUCAAAGAUGAUGAGGUUAAUAGGUUCGAGGUGGAAGCAUGGUGACAUGUGGAGCUGACGAAUACUAAUCGAUCGAAGACUUAAUCAA